rnacentral:rRNA from 1 species
CCCUUAGAUGUUCUGGGCUGCACGCGCGCUACACUGAUACCUUCAGCGAGUCCACCACCUUGCCUGGGAGGGUGGGGUAACCUCUGGAAAGUGCAUCGUGAUGGGGAUCGAUUAUUGUAAUUAUUAAUCUUCAACGAGGAAUUCCUAGUAAGCAUGUGUCAUCAGCCCGUGCUGAUUACGUCCCUGCCCUUUGUACACACCGCCCGUCGCUCCUACCGAUUGGGUGCUCCGGUGAAUUGUUUGGACUGCUGUCAGUCUUUUAGGCUGUUGGCGAGAAGCUCUGUGAACCUUAGCACCUAGAGGAAGGAGAAGUCGUAACA